GAUGAAGAACGUAGCGAAAUGCGAUAAGUAAUGUGAAUUGCAGAAUUCAGUGAAUCAUCGAAUCUUUGAACGCACAUUGCGCCCGCCAGUAUUCUGGCGGGCAUGCCUGUUCGAGCGUCAUUACAACCCUCAGGCCCCCGGGCCUGGCGUUGGGGAUCGGCGGAAGCCCCCUGUGGGCACACGCCGUCCCUCAAAUACAGUGGCGGUCCCGCCGCAGCUUCCAUUGCGUAGUAGCUAACACCUCGCAACUGGAACGCGGCGCGGCCAUGCCGUAAAACCCCAACUUCUGAAUGUUGACCUCGGAUCAGGUAGGAAUACCCGCUGAACUUAAGCAUAUCAAUAAGCGGAGGA
rnacentral:misc_RNA from 1 species